rnacentral:rRNA from 1 species
AGUGAACGCUGGCGGUAGGCCUAACACAUGCAAGUCGAACGGCAGCACAGGAGAGCUUGCUCUCUGGGUGGCGAGUGGCGGACGGGUGAGGAAUACAUCGGAAUCUACUCUGUCGUGGGGGAUAACGUAGGGAAACUUACGCUAAUACCGCAUACGACCUACGGGUGAAAGCAGGGGAUCUUCGGACCUUGCGCGAUUGAAUGAGCCGAUGUCGGAUUAGCUAUGUGGCGGGGUAAAGGCCCACCAAGGCGACGAUCCGUAGCUGGUCUGAGAGGAUGAUCAGCCACACUGGAACUGAGACACGGUCCAGACUCCUACGGGAGGCAGCAGUGGGGAAUAUUGGACAAUGGGCGCAAGCCUGAUCCAGCCAUACCGCGUGGGUGAAGAAGGCCUUCGGGUUGUAAAGCCCUUUUGUUGGGAAAGAAAUCCAGCUGGCUAAUACCCGGUUGGGAUGACGGUACCCAAAGAAUAAGCACCGGCUAACUUCGUGCCAGCCGCCGCCGUAA